ensembl:lncRNA
CUGCAGUGGAAGCGUGAAGUCUUAACCACUGGAUCGCCUACCCCUGGUACUUGUUAUCCCUUUUCUCUGCUGUAUUGUUCUCUUACUUAGCACCACCUGACAUAUUCUGUAUUUUCUUUUUUAUAUCUACCUCUUUAGGUCUUCCCCGUAGCUCAAAUGGUAAACAAUCUGCCUGUAACGUAGCAGGCCCCAGGUUCAAUCCCUGGGUCAGGAAGAUCCUCUGGAGAAGGGAAUGACAAUCCACUCCAGUAUUCUUGCCUGGAGAAUUCCAUGGAUAGAGGAGCCUGGCAGGCUACAGUCUAUGAGAUCGCAAAGAGUCGGACACAACUGAGUGACUAACGCUACCGCUACUACUACUGAAAGAAGACCGCAGGUGCUCCACAGGGCUGUAGGGCUCUGUGUGCCUGUGCCUGUCUCUGCUUCUGGCUGCAGCAUCCUGAAGCCUCAGCCCCCCUGUGCUCUGAAGCUGAGGAGCCAUCCAGAGCCUUCAGCGGCUGUCUUGGGUACUCAUCUUUCUGGUUGGGGUGACACUCUACCCUUGGAAGCACCCGAGUCCAGGUUCACCACGAAAGCACAGCAAAGUGAGAACACGACAACACGGCACUGGGAGAACAUGCAGAGCUUCUGCAUUUGCUAUUCCCUCUGCCUGGAAAACCCUUCUACCAAGUCUUCUCAUUGCUGGCCCCAUCUUACUAUUCAGGCUUCGGCUCCAAUGUUGAUCCCCUUAGAGAAGCCUCCCCAGAACACCCCACAGCCAUCUGAAGCUGUGCAGUUUGUGUCCCCCCAAAUUAGCACCCCGCCCCCACUCUUUAUUGCAUUGUCUACUUUUGUCUUUAUAGCAGAUAUCAGUGCUACCUGAAAUUAUGUAUUUCACAUACGUGAAAUUACAUUAUUUAUCUGCUUGUUGCCUGUGUCUUUCAUGUAAACCUCGUGGGAGUAAGGACUGUCUUUGUCUUGGUCCUUGUUCUGCUCCUGGUGCCUGUCAUGUAGUAGGUGCUCAGGAAAUUUGUUGACAUUCUCUCUCCUUAUUUUGGGGAGCUAUACCUACUUACCUACUUAUGUGUGUGAUGUGUGCAGGUUGCUCAAUUGUGUCUGACUCUUUGUGACCCUAUGGACUAUACAGUCCAUGGAAUUCUUCAGGCCAGAAUACUGGAGAGGGGAGCCGUUCCCUUUUCUAGGGGAUCUUCCCAACCCAGGGAUUAAACCCAGGUCUCCUGCAUUGCAGGCGAAUUCUUUACCCACUGAGCCACCAAGGAAGUCCUACUUAACUUGUAUUUUUAUUUUACUAAUAAAUAGUUUCUUAGAUUUGUUAGUUUACA